CUUAGUUUACCCCCAGCUCCUUGGUUCUGAUCUAAAUGCACGCCGUGCCCUCAAUUUUUUUUCCAUUGAAAGCGCUGCCUUUGUACAGACUAAGGAAUGGCACAUACACACAAGGGCUGCGGACGAGGCUACACUGAAGAAUGUGGAUGCAAACUGAAACAGCAAGUCACCUAAAGUCCCCAAGUGCUGAUUUAUGUUCCACUCCAUGAGAUAAAUGUGACUGUUGAAAGGGACCCAUGCUUACCAGAUUAUUUUCCUGACGAGGUUAGCCAUCAGAAAGAACUUGAUAAAGCUGUGAUACCUACAGAGUCAAAGAGCAAUAGUCAAGGAAGCUGGAUUAAUGCUGCAGCUAAUUUUCUUUCAAAAACAUUUUUCUGGUGAUUAUACAAAUUCAUAUUGACAAAUGCAAAUAUGUAAGAUUUUACUGUAUGUCUUUUUAAAUGUUUAAUUAAACACUAACAUUUUGUCAAUUUUAA